CCUACGGGAGGCUGCAGUGAGGAAUAUUGGUCAAUGGACGAGAGUCUGAACCAGCCAAGUAGCGUGAAGGAUGACUGCCCUAUGGGUUGUAAACUUCUUUUAUAUGGGAAUAAAAUGUUCCACGUGUGGGAUUUUGUAUGUACCAUAUGAAUAAGGAUCGGCUAACUCCGUGCCAGCAGCCGCGGUAAUACGGAGGAUCCGAGCGUUAUCCGGAUUUAUUGGGUUUAAAGGGAGCGUAGGUGGAUUGUUAAGUCAGUUGUGAAAGUUUGCGGCUAAACCGUAAAAUUGCAGUUGAAACUGGCAGUCUUGAGUACAGUAGAGGUGGGCGGAAUGCGUGGUGUAGCGGUGAAAUGCUUAGAUAUCACGAAGAACUCCGAUUGCGAAGGCAGUUCACUGGACUGCAACUGACACUGAGGCUCGAAAGUGUGGGUAUCAAACAGGAUUAGAUACCCGGGUAGUC
rnacentral:rRNA from 1 species